CUUACUCAUGCAAGUUGCGCGAUGAGACUUAUAUGGGAGCACAUCAGCGGCAGACGGGUGAGUAACACGUAGAUGACGUACCCUCAAGACGGGGAUAACGGAGGGAGGAGAUGCGCUAAUACCGGAUGACCUUACGAUGUCAGAAUGGUAAGGAAAGCUACGGCGCUUGAGGAGCGGUCUGCGGCCCAUCAGCUAGUUGGUAGGGUAAAGGCCUACCAAGGCGAAGACGGGUAGGGGGUGUGAGAGCACGGCCCCCACAAUGGGACUGAGACACGGCCCAUACUCCUACGGGAGGGAGCAGCANGGAAUAUUGCACAAUGGACGGAAGUCUGAUGCAGCGACGCCGCGUGAGUGAAGAAGGCCUUCGGGUUGUAAAACUCUUUUGAGGGGGAAGAGCGAGGACGGUACCCCUGGAAUAAGCGUCGGCUAACUACGUGCCAGCAGCCGCGGUAAGACGUAGGACGCGAGCGUUAUCCGGAUUUACUGGGCGUAAAGCGUCUGUAGGCGGAUGUGUAAGUUGGGCGUGAAAGCUCCGGGCUUAACCCGGAGAGGCCGUUCAAUACUGCAUAACUUGAGGGUGUCAGAGGGGAGCGGAAUUCCCGGUGUAGCGGUAAAAUGCGCAGAGAUCGGGAGGAACACCAGUGGCGGAGGCGGUUCCCUGGGGCACACCUGACGCUGAGAGACGAAAGCUAGGGGAGCGAACAGGAUUAGAGAGCCUGGUAGUCCUAGCCCUAAACGAUGAAUGCUAGGUGUGGG
rnacentral:rRNA from 1 species